rnacentral:rRNA from 1 species
UUAUUUAACGGCCGCGGUACUCUGACCGUGCAAAGGUAGCAUAAUCAUUUGCCUUAUAAUUGAAGGCUUGUAUGAAUGGUUUGACAAGAAUUAAUUUGUCUCUUAUCAAUUAAAAUGAAAUUGACUUUUAGGUGUAAAGGCCUAAAUAUGACUAAUAGACAAGAAGACCCUAUUGAGCUUUAAAGAUUUAUAAUGGCAUAGCUAUAUUAGAAGUAAGAUUAUAAGCUAUUAAGAUUUUUAGUUGGGGCGACUAUGGAACAAAUAAAACUUCCAGAAUUUUGUAAUAUUUGUUGUUAGUUUAUUUAAAUUUGAUCCAAAAUAUUUUGAUUAAUAGAAUAAGUUACCAUAGGGAUAACAGCAUAAUCUAUCUUAAGAGUUCUAAUCGAAAGAAAGGUUUGUGACCUCGAUGUUGGAUUAAAAUAUCCUAAGGGUGCAGAAGCUCUUGAAGGUUGGUCUGUUCG